CUACGGGGUGCACCAGUGGGGAAUAUUGCACAAUGGAGGAAACUCUGAUGCAGCAACGCCGCGUGGAGGAUGACACUUUUCGGAGCGUAAACUCCUUUUAUAUAGGAAGAAGAUGACGGUACUAUAUGAAUAAGCGCCGGCUAACUCUGUGCCAGCAGCCGCGGUAAUACGGAGGGCGCAAGCGUUACUCGGAAUCACUGGGCGUAAAGAGCGUGUAGGCGGAUUAAAAAGUCAGAAGUGAAAUCCUAUAGCUUAACUAUAGAACUGCUUCUGAAACUCUUAAUCUAGAAUAUGGGAGAGGUAGAUGGAAUUUCUGGUGUAGGGGUAAAAUCCGUAGAGAUCAGAAGGAAUACCGAUUGCGAAGGCGAUCUACUAGAACAUUACUGACGCUGAGACGCGAAAGCGUGGGGAGCAAACAGGAUUAGAUACCCUCGUAGUC
rnacentral:rRNA from 1 species